rnacentral:misc_RNA from 1 species
GGGUUGCUUGAGUUUGGGGUUGAUAAACUCUCAGUCCGUGACAGGUGGUAUCAGAGCCUGUUUCAUAUCAGAGCCUAGUUCAUAUCAGAGCUUCGGUUGCUCUUGAAGGUGACAAUGGCGGACCAGAGUGAGAUCACCCUUGGUGUGGGUGUUGCUCCUACGGUUGUGGAGCAUGAAGGCGGCAGGAGAAAAGGCCGUGGUAAGUCAAGGGAUCCUAGCCGAGCAAGGGAGGACUUGGGAGACUUGGAGAAACGUCUCGCCAAGGUCGAAUUGCACCUCGUGGAUGGAGAGGAAAGGUUCGAGGAGGUGGACACCCGCUUGAUGGAGCUCGAUGAGAGGAUGGAAGAGCUUCGAGGGGACAUGCAGGGUGCCUUGAACGCUGCAUUCGACAAGCUGGCUAGUGAAGGUGAGUCCCUACGCCUUUCUCAAAUGGGGGAAAUUGCUGCCUUAAGGGAUGAGAAUAAGUCCCUAAAGGAACAGUUGGAAUGGGCCAUGGGGAAGUUGAAGGAAGUCGAGCAGCAAGUGUCUCUUGUUGCUGUGGCUGUGGCACGUGGUGGAGUUGCCACUACUUCCGGGGCU